UACGGGGGGGGCAAGCGUUGUUCGGAAUUACUGGGCGUAAAGCGUGCGCAGGCGGUGAUGUAAGACCGAUGUGAAAUCCCCGGGCUUAACCUGGGAACUGCAUUGGUGACUGCAUUGCUAGAGUAUGGCAGAGGGGGGUGGAAUUCCACGUGUAGCAGUGAAAUGCGUAGAGAUGUGGAGGAACACCGAUGGCGAAGGCAGCCCCCUGGGCCAAUACUGACGCUCAUGCACGAAAGCGUGGGGAGCAAACAGG
rnacentral:rRNA from 1 species